rnacentral:rRNA from 1 species
UAGGGAAUCUUCCACAAUGGACGCAAGUCUGAUGGAGCAACGCCGCGUGAGUGAAGAAGGUUUUCGGACCGUAAAGCUCUGUUGUUGGUGAAGAAGGAUAGAGGUAGUAACUGGCCUUUAUUUGACGGUAAUCAACCAGAAAGUCACGGCUAACUACGUGCCAGCAGCCGCGGUAAUACGUAGGUGGCAAGCGUUGUCCGGAUUUAUUGGGCGUAAAGCGAGCGCAGGCGGAAGAAUAAGUCUGAUGUGAAAGCCCUCGGCUUAACCGAGGAAUUGCAUCGGAAACUGUUUUCUUGAGUGCAGAAGAGGAGAGUAGAACUCCAUGUGUAGUGGUGGAAUGCGUAGAUAUAUGGAAGAAUACCAGUGGCGAAGGCGGCUCUCUGGUCUGCAACUGACGCUGAGGCUCGAAAGCAUGGGUAGCGAACAGGAUUAGAUACCCUGGUAGUCCAUGCCGUAAACGAUGAGUGCUAAGUGUUGGGAGGCUUCCGCCUCUCAGUGCUGCAGCUAACGCAUUAAGCACUCCGCCUGGGGGAGUACGACCGCAAGGUUGAAAC